rfam:Canis lupus familiaris chromosome 4, whole genome shotgun sequence.
CACAUGGCUUCUUUGGAAGCCAUUAUCAGUGUCUGAAAAGCAUAGG